rnacentral:rRNA from 1 species
UGAUGCAGCCAUGCCGCGUGUGUGAAGAAGGCCUUCGGGUUGUAAAGCACUUUCAGCGGGGAGGAAGGCGGUGAGGUUAAUAACCUCACCGAUUGACGUUACCCGCAGAAGAAGCACCGGCUAACUCCGUGCCAGCAGCCGCGGUAAUAA